UAUCAGUUUUCUAUGGUUUUAUGAGUGCGUUAUGUUGAACUUGGACAAGAAUAAGCUGUUAAACACUCUGGAGGGGAGUUCCUCUGAGAUAAACUCUUGCACAAGAGCUUGUAAGCAUGUUUACAGCCUCUUGUUAACAGAAAAUAUUAGUCUUGGCUGGCAAGGCAGGAGGGAGAAUCUGUGAAAAACGCAUCGUAAUGGGAAAGAAUGCCUCACAAAGGUGCUCUGGCAGCUGCUAUGUCCCAGCUGGGAAGCAUUGGUCCAACGCUGCAGACGGGACCCUUUGGGCCGAACCAGCUUCUGACCAUGGCUCACCUGCUGAACCUCUGUCUCUGAACCGUCACCUUCAGGAUUAAAAGUGAAAUAUUCAA